rnacentral:rRNA from 1 species
GAGCGGCCGAUGUCAGAUUAGGUAGUUGGUGGGGUAAAGGCCUACCAAGCCGACGAUCUGUAGCUGGUCUGAGAGGACGACCAGCCACACUGGGACUGAGACACGGCCCAGACUCCUACGGGAGGCAGCAGUGGGGAAUUUUGGACAAUGGGGGAAACCCUGAUCCAGCCAUGCCGCGUGCGGGAAGAAGGCCUUCGGGUUGUAAACCGCUUUUGUCAGGGAAGAAACGCGCUGAGCUAAUACCUCGGCGUAAUGACGGUACCUGAAGAAUAAGCACCGGCUAACCACGUGCCAGCAGCCGCGGUAAUACGUAGGGUGCAAGCGUUAAUCGGAAUUACUGGGCGUAAAGCGUGCGCAGGCGGUUGUGCAAGACAGAUGUGAAAUCCCCGGGCUUAACCUGGGAACUGCAUUUGUGACUGCACAGCUGGAGUGCGGCAGAGGGGGAUGGAAUUCCGCGUGUAGCAGUGAAAUGCGUAGAUAUGCGGAGG